rnacentral:rRNA from 1 species
UACGGGGGGAGCAAGCGUUGUUCGGAUUUACUGGGCGUAAAGGGCGCGUAGGCGGCCACCGCAAGUCAGUUGUGAAAUCUCUGGGCUUAACCCAGAAAGGUCAACUGAUACUGCGGGGCUAGAGUGCAGAAGGGGCAACUGGAAUUCUCGGUGUAGCGGUGAAAUGCGUAGAUAUCGAGAGGAACACCUGCGGCGAAGGCGGGUUGCUGGGCUGACACUGACGCUGAGGAGCGAAAGCGUGGGUAGCAAACAGG